CUUACUUGUGCAAACGGAUGUAUU
rnacentral:snRNA from 1 species